UCGAGCGGUAGAGAGAAGCUUGCUUCUCUUGAGAGCGGCGGACGGGUGAGUAAUACCUAGGAAUCUGCCUGAUAGUGGGGGAUAACGUUCGGAAACGGACGCUAAUACCGCAUACGUCCUACGGGAGAAAGCAGGGGACCUUCGGGCCUUGCGCUAUCAGAUGAGCCUAGGUCGGAUUAGCUAGUUGGUGAGGUAAUGGCUCACCAAGGCUACGAUCCGUAACUGGUCUGAGAGGAUGAUCAGUCACACUGGAACUGAGACACGGUCCAGACUCCUACGGGAGGCAGCAGUGGGGAAUAUUGGACAAUGGGCGAAAGCCUGAUCCAGCCAUGCCGCGUGUGUGAAGAAGGUCUUCGGAUUGUAAAGCACUUUAAGUUGGGAGGAAGGGCAGUUACCUAAUACGUGAUUGUCUUGACGUUACCGACAGAAUAAGCACCGGCUAACUCUGUGCCAGCAGCCGCGGUAAUACAGAGGGUGCAAGCGUUAAUCGGAAUUACUGGGCGUAAAGCGCGCGUAGGUGGUUUGUUAAGUUGAAUGUGAAAUCCCCGGGCUCAACCUGGGAACUGCAUCCAAAACUGGCAAGCUAGAGUAUGGUAGAGGGUAGUGGAAUUUCCUGUGUAGCGGUGAAAUGCGUAGAUAUAGGAAGGAACACCAGUGGCGAAGGCGACUACCUGGACUGAUACUGACACUGAGGUGCGAAAGCGUGGGGAGCAAACAGGAUUAGAUACCCUGGUAGUCCACGCCGUAAACGAUGUCAACUAGCCGUUGGGAGUCUUGAACUCUUAGUGGCGCAGCUAACGCAUUAAGUUGACCGCCUGGGGAGUACGGCCGCAAGGUUAAAACUCAAAUGAAUUGACGGGGGCCCGCACAAGCGG
rnacentral:rRNA from 1 species